rnacentral:tRNA from 1 species
CAACCAUCCGAUAUGGUGUAGUGGCUAACAUCGCCGUCUCUCACACGGCAGCCGGGGGUUCGAUUCCCCCUAUCGGAGUUCCUUUUUUGU